CGACGUGGAUAACCUGCCUCACACAGGGGGAUAACAGUUAGAAAUGACUGCUAAUACCGCAUAAGCGCACGGCAUCGCAUGAUGCAGUGUGAAAAACUCCGGUGGUGUGAGAUGGAUCCGCGUCUGAUUAGGUGGUUGGUGGGGUAACGGCCCACCAAGCCGACGAUCAGUAGCCGACCUGAGAGGGUGACCGGCCACAUUGGGACUGAGACACGGCCCAA
rnacentral:rRNA from 1 species